GUGGGGAAUUUUGGACAAUGGGCGCAAGCCUGAUCCAGCAAUGCCGCGUGCAGGAAGAAGGCCUUCGGGUUGUAAACUGCUUUUGUACGGAACGAAACGGUCCGGGUUAAUACCCUGGGCUAAUGACGGUACCGUAAGAAUAAGCACCGGCUAACUACGUGCCAGCAGCCGCGGUAAUACGUAGGGUGCAAGCGUUAAUCGGAAUUACUGGGCGUAAAGCUUGCGCAGGCGGUUUUGUAAGACAGGCGUGAAAUCCCCGGGCUCAACCUGGGAAUUGCGCUUGUGACUGCAAGGCUGGAGUGCGGCAGAGGGGGAUGGAAUUCCGCGUGUAGCAGUGAAAUGCGUAGAUAUGCGGAGGAACACCGAUGGCGAAGGCAAUCCCCUGGGCCUGCACUGACGCUCAUGCACGAAAGCGUGGGGAGCAAACAGGAUUAGAUACCCUUGUAGUCC
rnacentral:rRNA from 1 species